UGCUGGAGGGGAUGCUGCUGCUGGAUCCAGAGACGAGGCUGACAGAGAAGCAGGGUCUACCCCACCCCUUCCUGGCUGAAUACCAUGACCCAGAGAGUGAGACGGACUCUGAGCCUUAUGACGACUCCUUCGAGAGCCUGGAGCUGGCUGUUGGCGAAUGGAAGAGUCUUAUCCACAUGGAGAUCAUGACCUUCGACCCUGACAACCCCAGUAAAACAGCUAUGUAGGAUGCUGUGAUGAGUAGUGUUUGGUUUAAUAUCCACACGUGAGGUAAAGGUCAACGAUUCAGUGAAACAAACACAAAAAAAAGAAUAUUAAAUAUAUCCUGUCCUGUUUUGUGCAUCUGACAUGUAUGUGCAGUUGAUAAAGUUGAUGGUAGCAAUACUAGCUUGAUGAAUUAAUGGAUCUGUUUGACCAAAAGCAUGUAAACUUUGACAUAAAAUUAUUUUUAUGAGGUGUUUUGCAUUAAUUUCACUUCACCCUCAUCAUGUUCAUUUUGAUGUCUGUAUUGUCAGUCGUCCAGCUCACAUGUUUGUAAGUGCUGUAUGUGUCAGGGCAUUGUUGUUGAAUGUACAGCAGAAAGGAUUUACAUGAUACUGUACAUGAAAUAUUAAUGGUCAAAUAAAGUAAAAUACAUAGAU